CUCUAAAAUAAAAUUAAAUACGAAUUAUAGAUUGAAACUUAUCUAUAUGAAGUUGGAAUCGUAAGUAAUCGUAAAUUAGUAUGUUACGGUGAAUCAUAGUACUUGAGCUCUGUACACACCGCCCGUCACAUUAAAGAAGUAAUUUUCGAUUGAAAUUUAAGUUUAUUUUUAAAUAUUCUAAAAAAUUAUUUUAUUAGUUAUUUUUUAAUAAAUUUUAAUUAAAUUAUAGAUUAUAAUUUUAAUGAAGUCGUAACAAGGUAACCGUAUGGGAACAUGCGGUUGGAAU
rnacentral:rRNA from 1 species